CUGCUAUUACAUAACUCCUGCUAGGCAAGCUGCUAGAAAGCCUUUGUUUUCUAUGUAUGUCGAAUCUCAUUUUCAUGAACCUAGGGUUAAUUGUUCCACUUUUGAAAUUCCUUCAAUGUUCUGGUGUGCUUGUAUUAUCUCCCUGACUGCUCUUGCUAUAUAUAUUUGCUUAAUAUCUUAUCCUUUCUUGCUUACAAAGAAAUAAAUCUACAUACCUAUGAGUUAGGAGCUUCUUUAAAAUUUAAGAAAAUAUCAGUUCCUUAGAAUAGAAAUGUAAAGAUACCUCCAUUAUGUUGAGUCGCAUUCUCUUCUCCAGGAAGAAAAAGCCCAGCUACCUCAGCAUUUCUUCGUAGGGAAGGUGCUCCAGUCCACUGAUCAUCUUCAUGGCCCUCCUCUAAACCCUCUCCAGCAGCUUCCCUGUACUGGGGCACUAGGCAUCACUGAGCAACAGACUAUGACAUCACCAGGUAAUGGACUGUGACUGCAUGGCCCUCACUGCUUAUAUUGGGGUGCCAGCAGAGCCUGGCUCAGUCUGGACUGAACCUGAGGAACACAAGGCAAGAUGGCAGGUCUAAUGAACCAUCUACUGGAAUGAAGGCUCUCUGUCUCAUCAUCAGCUACCUGUGAAUGUUAAUACUACCCUGUGCUUCCAUGUGGGAUCACUACAUCUCUGUCCUGCUGCAGCAUAUAAAGAGUAAAAGUCAUAGCCACCUACCUUCUUGAAGGAGUUGAUUUCCACUUACCAAUGAGUUACACUUCUGCUUUUCAAGAGACAGAAUUUGACCGCCUCCUAGUUUUAGAAGUUCUUCCUACUUUCUCCAACCAUAGUGAAUCCUACCAUUAGAUCAGUCUACACAUCUACUGUGGUCACCUGUAUCUGGCGCUACCUGCCCAGUUUUCUCCAACUCCUUCUGAGACCUAUGAAGUUCUUCAUCUUUUUCCUUCAGUCAAGACCAAUAUCAAGAAAAAAUCUGUUUUUUCCUCUUAGCCUAAUCAGACACUCUUCAGCUUCUUCAAAAUUACCACUACAGUUUGUAGACUGGAGAAUAGAAAAGGCAACUGCCCCAGUGAUCUCAGUUAUAAUCAACUGUACUGUUUUGAUGGAUUUUUAUUCUUUUUCUCCCAACCUGCAGAAUAUUUCCAGUUCUUGGAAAAGGAAGGACAGGGAGCUGUUUCCUCCACUACUUUAUUCUGCAAGACUGCUAGAUGGAGCAGGUUUUGUAAAAGCAACAGUAAUUUCAGUAGAGAGAUGCUUCUUCUCCUGUAAGUCUGAAACUAAUUGUAUUUUCAGUCAAAAUACAUUACAUCACAUUAAAAAAAUAAAAAAAUAAAUGUAGUUUAUUUACGUAGCAAGCAUUUCGGAUAUCUAUGGUUACGCAUUAAUAUAUAUAUAUAAACAUUAGGCUUUAAAAGCACAGAGACACAGGUCUAUGGGAAAAAGGCUUUGAGAUGUGGGAUCAAACAUCAUCCAAAACAUGCCAGAUUUCAGCAUGUUCUAUUGAAAGCAUGAUGUGUUAUCUAAUGAUCAUAGUUAGAGAUUAGCACAUGUCCUUCUGGAAAGAUGGAUUUCUCCAGCUGUCAGAUUGAAGAAUUCAGGUCUAGCGAGAUGACACUAAUGUAAAACUGCCCAUGAACAGGACAGAAUGCCCAUGUCAAUCAGUUCUUGUCAUCCCAAAUAUUUAUCAUAGGAUGCUUUAUAACAAGGUCGCAAAAAAUGCAUGACAGACCAAUUCUAGCUGUAAAGAAAACCUCCAAUAUUUUCCAUCAUCAAAAGAUAAUGCUAAAAAAGUGUUGAGGAGUGAUGUUACACCCAUGAAAUAGGUUCCCACAUGCUUAUCAUUGAAGAGGCUGAGAACAAGACAUUUUUCCCUGAACACCGAGGAAGGGACGUAAAUUGAGAGAUUUCAGUGGGAAUAUGAUCUCAUUACUUUCCAUGGAGGGAGUAUUAGUAAUACUCAGGCUGAUGAGACUACGGGAGCAGAUUUGACACCAUACAUGCUGCAAACCAAAAACUCAAAUGCAGGGAGCCUAUGACUGCUACUCUGGAAGCAGCACAGACUGCAGAGCAGCACUGUGAUUUGUCGACAGGCCCAAGGUAUGAGAAAUGAUCCCACUUUGCAUAAUGUGUUCCUUGCACAAAGUCUACCCAUGCACUCCGCAGAACAACAAAAGGAGACCAGGGCAGCUGGGAAACAGAAUGCAGGAAGGGGAAUUGCCCACAAAAUCAGGCUGCACAAAUUCAUGAUCAGGCUGCUGCUGCGAGUUAGCAUCAUCCUUCCUAUGAAAUCCAGUGAAGAGAAUAAGAUUUUCAUUUCACAGU